rnacentral:lncRNA from 1 species
GGGGCGUGGAGAAAUCUCUAGAGUUGCAGGAGAUUCCCUUCGAAACCUUAUUCCAUUCGCAACUGCAUUUUCGGGCAUCACCGGGCAAUCGGGCCACGUCCACGUUAUAAAGCCGGAACUCGACAUUUCGGCGCCGCACAUUGAGCGUGACCACCACGCAGUAGAGUAGCAUCUGCAAAUGCUUGGCCAGCAUCACGUAGAAGGCGCCCAUGUCGUCCGGGAAUAGGGCUUCGGCCCACGCGGAACAGUCGAACAGGAAGUAGCCACCAUCGCGGCUGGAGCUGUGCCCGAAGGAGAAGCGACGCUCCUGGCACUCCAGCAGGCCAAACUGAAAGCGCGUGAAGAAGUAGUUGAGGCCCUCUAGCGAACUCAUUUCUCUACUGGCUGGGGAGCCCGAAGGCCACCAGCUCAAGUUGCACCUGGCAUCGUCCACACCCGAAUGAAGGUCCCAACGCUCGCUCUGCUCCACGCUGGCGCGGAAGUAGCGGUUUCCAUUAACCACGAUGGCGUCCAGCAGCUUUCCGCUCCACUCGCCAAGGUGGCGGAAUGUACUGGCCACACAACAGGCCACCACGCAGCAUCCGAGCGUUUGAUGCCCACGCACCUUCCGGUCGAACCAAGGAGCCCUCGGAUGCAGUCCGCCCGACAGCGACCAGAGUCGUCCCGUCAGCUCCACGUCGAAGUUCUGGCUCCGAGCAGCGACGCAGUUGCGGCCCAGCCGCUGGCUCCAGAUCGGCAGACAGUUGGACGGCGUCAGCCAGGUCAUUGACUCGCUCCGCGCUGACAGCAAAGCAGUCUGCCCCAGCCGCCUUAAUAUGCCGCCGGUACUGGCACACUCCUCGCUGCAAAUUUUCCACAGUUUCCACAUUUUCCAGGUGCCACCUGUUUCCAUCGGGCAAGAUGUAAAACCUCGGCGUUAGCGUCGGAGGACCCUCCGAAACUAGGAUGUCUCGCACAAAGUUGUGGGUGCGCAUGCGCCGCAUUAUGGACGAUAAAUGCAAGGCGACUGUGAACUAUAAGGGCAUAAAGGGCAGCGAAAUAAGCAGGACAUUUCGGAAGGACUCCCCAGUACCCUCCUUAUGUCACGAAAAAAUGUAAGGUGUUGGAAGUGCUUAACGGACGAAAAUUUUGAACUGAACUUAAAGACAGAGCCUACCGUAGCAACUAACGAUUAAAGAAAUUGACUUCUAAGGAACAUUUGUUAGAAAUACCUACAAAAAGUAGAUUUGAGUUAUGCGGCUAUCAUAUACUGGUUAAUCAGCUUAAUGGAGUGGAGUGUUAGGGAAAUGGAGACAUGCGAGUAGGAACGCGGCUCUUCCCUGGAUUUUAUACGAACGCCACCUUGCCGCAGUUUCACACAACUUUUUGGGUUUCUUAAGAUGACUAAAUAAAUUUGUACUGUCAAGAAUAUC